rnacentral:rRNA from 1 species
GACGAACGCUGGCGGCGUGCUUAACACAUGCAAGUCGAACGGAAAGGCCCUGCUUUUGUGGGGUGCUCGAGUGGCGAACGGGUGAGUAACACGUGAGUAACCUGCCCCUGACUUUGGGAUAACUUCAGGAAACUGGGGCUCAUAUCGGAUAGGAGCUCCUGCUGCACGGUGGGGGUUGGAAAGUUUCGGCGGUUGGGGAUGGACUCGCGGCUUAUCAGCUUGUUGGUGGGGUAGUGGCUUACCAAGGCUUUGACGGGUAGCCGGCCUGAGAGGGUGACCGGCCGCAUUGGGACUGAGAUACGGCCCAGACUCCUACGGGAGGCAGCAGUGGGGAAUAUUGCACAAUGGGCGGAAGCCUGAUGCAGCAACGCCGCGUGCGGGAUGACGGGCUUCGGGUUGUAAACCGCUUUCGCCUGUGACGAAGCGUGAGUGACGGUAAUGGGUAAAGAAGCACCGGCUAACUACGUG